CACUCAUCAAGCUGUUUAAUGGGGUUUUUAAUCUCACUGCUGUCUAGGAAAAACAGUUGAGAUGUAAGAGAGGCUUUGUCUGUUAUUUGGUGACUCUAUGAUUGGUGGAUUUCCCCCCUAAGGAUCAUGGGUAUUGUAGUUCUUCUCAAGGAAUUCCACUAUUAAACAUGAUUUUUGAAAAAUGAAACUGAAGAAAUGCAGACUGCUUCAACAGGAGCAUAUUCCAUCGAUUAACAACCUUGGAGCUCAUGAAUUCCUAUCCUGAGGUGACUAGAACCGGCCAGAUCUAGCUCUGUUCCUGUUUGGUGUCAGACUCCACUGCUACGUGUCACUGAGUGAUGAUGACUAAAUGCAGCCGGUGCCAGCCAGACAUCACUUCAGUCUAUUACGAUGGACUUCAUAGGAUGAACUGAUGCCAGCUCCAACCAUAAGAUAUGGGAUACUUCAUAUGCCACUGCUUGAACCUUGGACUUAAGAUAGACCUCACCAAAAUGACCGGCCGGUUGAACUGCGAUGCACCUCACUCAUCUCUGCCUGCAAAACCUUGGUCUAAAGAUGGACUACUCUCCUGAAAUGGAAUAAAUAGACAAUUAAUUAAUUGCCAGCAAAAGCCUUCAUCAGCCAACUAACAAAGGACAAUGCAUCUAUGUAAACUUCUGCAGUUAAUCCAGAAUGGACUUCAAAGAUAUUAGUCAUUAAUCUUACAGUUCAUACAAAAUCUUUGUUUAAACAAAUGGCCCUUUAAACUUACUUAGUUUACUAAUUUUAAACCAUGACUUGCACUGCACAUAAAUAUUGGCAUUAUAUUCAUGCUGUUAGCCAGAGGGGAACUGGCCCCCACAAUGAGCCUGAUUUCUCCCAAGGUUAUUUUUCUCCAUUAACAUCUUAUGGAGUUUUGUGUUCCUUGCCACAGUUGCCUCUGGCUUGCUCACUGGGGUUCUAAAUACAAUUAUUAUUUAAUUAUUUAUUUAUAUACACAAUUUACAAUUACACAAUGAUGACUCUAAAACUUUAUAGAUAUAACAGUUUCAUUUUCUGUUAAUGCAUGAAGCUGCUUUGAAACAGUGUGUGUUGUGAAAAGCGCUAUACAAAUAAAAAUGACAACUUUCAUUUCAGAAAGGAGCUUACUGCAAACACCCUGGAAUAAACCUUUUUUUUUUUUAAGUGCAUGUAAACGUGACCAAUGUCUAACCUCUAAAAUUGUCUUUAUCCAUUGCCAUUUGUUUUGUAUUUAUUUUUUUAUCCUCAGGCAUAUAAUAAAAGAUCCAAAAAGUGGAGCAAUGAAGCAAUUGCCAUCCAACUAUCUGUUGAUAAUUUGACCACUAGUCCAAACAGCCAGACUGAAACUCAACCCAUGAAGCCACGUGUGAAGUCUAGGCCUCAAAGGGCACUUCUGUUAGAGGUUAGGAGGUUAUUAAACUAUGAAUGUUCCCUAUUGCUCCUCAGAGGGUUUUUAAAAUGCUUUAAAGUGCGAAUUUCAUAUAUGCACCUGCAUACAGGCACCAUCAUAGGGUCACUUCCUUCCUCAGUAUAUGUACAAGCCCUUGUUCCUCAAAAAAGAAGGAAAACCAGAACCUUCAUAUAAGGGGUUUGACUUACAUACACACUGCAGCUAAAUACGAUUGCCACUCCUCUUUUGAGUGCUUAAUCCCGUUCUUUAAACACAGAGUUUGGCUUAACUGGCUUAACUUCAUUUUUGGUGAUUUACGGGAGUGACAGCCAACUUAAAGCGUACCAGCCUAAUUUUUCCGAAGUCAGACUUACAGACCUAGGUAAUGCAAUUAUAGUUCAGCUUCAUCUUGCAUGUAUACACAUUAAUCAGACCACAAUUGGCCUCGGCAUUGUGGGCAUGCUUGUAAAGACAAAGGUGAUGCGUGACAUAGAUUAACUUUCUUAAAUGCAUGGACAGACAAAAAACAAGGAAUGGCGAAGACAUCUGUGGCAGCGGGGGCUUGGUCAAGCAUCUCACCGGAGAGAGAGAAAGCGGUAAGGGUGCUUACACCUGAGCUAAAUUAUGUCUAACACCUGUCUCUAAUUUCAGUGAGCACGGGGAGAGCGGCAUAAAUAGAGCCACACAGCACUUAGACGGGGGAGAGCCUGGGCAUGGACUAUGAAGUUAGAAGUUACUACGAUUACAAAUCUGAGAGUUUAUUGUGUAAGCUAGUUUGUGGAUUUUUUUAGACUGUGGUUUCCAACAACGUAAAGCCCUGAGAGUGUGUAUGUGCUGCAGUAAGGAAAAUAAAAACGCCUACCUGAACCAGGAAAUCUGCUUCUCGCCUCAUCCUUCCACUGAGAAGUGUCACAACAUCAAAAUAGCUAGAAGAUGUGGACUUUAUUUAAAGCCCUGAACAGA